rnacentral:pre_miRNA from 1 species
AAUAAGUACAGCCGUAGAUAUCCGUGUCCAAUAUUUGACCGUCCGUCUUAUUUAAAAAAUUUGUGAAAAAUUUGAAAAUAUUUAGCAAUAAAAAUACUAAUCAUAAAAAAAUUCAAAUAAGACGAAUGAUCAAAUAUUGAACGUGAAUAGUGUAAAACUGUAUUUAUU